rnacentral:tmRNA from 1 species
GGGGGUGAUCUGGCUUCGACGCCGGUUGCGAACCCUGAGGUGCAUGCCGAGAGGGUAGUAACUCUCGUAAAUAAAUUGCUGCAACUUUUAUAGUUGCCAACGACGAAAACUACGCGCUAGCUGCUUAAAUCCGCCUUUUAGGCAAAGUUUAAGUUAGCUAAACCCGGGGCGAAUUUGCCCAUGAAUUCAAACCGGGUGCACGACUCAUGGGAUCGUCGCCAGACCCUGCUUGUGGUUGAAGCGAUUAAAUUUGAAGCAAGCUCGCCUUUUAAUCCCUGUUCGCCGGGCCAGUGAAAGGUUAAAUAGUAGACGAACUAAGCAUGUAGAGCCAAAGGCAGAGAACUGACGGACGCGGGUUCGACUCCCGCCACCUCCACCA